rnacentral:rRNA from 1 species
UACAGAGGGGGCAAGCGUUGUUCGGAAUUACUGGGCGUAAAGGGCGCGUAGGCGGCCUUCUAAGUCGAACGUGAAAUCCCCGGGCUCAACCCGGGAACUGCGUCCGAUACUGGAAGGCUUGAAUCCGGGAGAGGGAUGCGGAAUUCCAGGUGUAGCGGUGAAAUGCGUAGAUAUCUGGAGGAACACCGGUGGCGAAGGCGGCAUCCUGGACCGGUAUUGACGCCGAGGCGCGAAAGCCAGGGGAGCAAACGGG